rnacentral:rRNA from 1 species
UACGUAGGGUGCAAGCGUUGUCCGGAAUUAUUGGGCGUAAAGAGCUCGUAGGCGGUUUGUCGCGUCGGCUGUGAAAACUCGGGGCUCAACCCCGAGCCUGCAGUCGAUACGGGCAGACUAGAGUGCUGUAGGGGAGACUGGAAUUCCUGGUGUAGCGGUGAAAUGCGCAGAUAUCAGGAGGAACACCGGUGGCGAAGGCGGGUCUCUGGGCCGAUACUGACGCUGAGGAGCGAAAGCGUGGGGAGCGAACAGG